GCACGCUACUUCCGAUCUCUUUCCAUGAUCAUCGCUAAAAAUUGGUCUGCUUCUAAGCAGAUUCAGGCAAUGUCUUCCAAUCUCGUGCCUCCUCGAGGUGGAGAACCCACAGGACUUGCAUUACCUGUUUAUGUAAUGAGCUCUGUUAUGGUGUUUGUGAUGUGGGCUCUGGUGGCUGCUUUGCCUUGUCAAGAGAGGAGUGGAUUGGCAACGCAUUUUCCGAUUCCGAGGCAAUUAACGUGGGCACAUAGCAUGAUUGGGCUGCAAGAGAGGAUCGGGGAGGAGUGGAAGAAGAAGGAGAAAAAAGGGUCGGUGGGGCUGUUGGAAGAGAUGCAGAGGAUGGAGAAAUUGGCUCUGAAUUUGAUCGAAUUUGCUGAUGGGUUUCAGUUUCCAGGGGAGACAGAGAAGAUGGAGGAGGUGGCAGCUCAGGUGGCGGAGCUUGCAGAAAUUUUCCGGAAAAUGGGAGAAGGUUUGGUGCCUUUGCAGGCGCAGAUUAGAGAGGUGUUUCAUAGAAUUGUAAGGAGCAGAACAGAGGUUCUUGAAGUGUUGGAUCAUGCAGCCAAAAUUUCUCAACCUACGACAUAACUCGGCGCA
rnacentral:misc_RNA from 1 species